rnacentral:lncRNA from 1 species
UAGAAAACGCGUUUCACUGAAGAAUUAGAAAUAUUGAAUGAAAAUACAUGUGUCUGCAGCCUGCUUGUAGAAUUUAUGUUUGUCCAUGGAGCCUUUGGUUAUGGAUUUUCACAACAGUUAAAACCUCUUCAAAGAAAUAUUGAGCCUACAAUGUUUCUGAAUGUUGCAUCACAUCCAAAAAGAAAACAUCUCCCAAAAAAUCAACAGCCUCUUGAGAAAUCAGAAAUCACACCACAGCCUGUUCCUGUUGAGAGUUCAGCUGAUGGACAACACCCAAACCAGCAACCUAUAGUACAACUUGGAAACACCCGGGAAAGGUGAAAAGCACAA